rnacentral:rRNA from 1 species
AGGACGAACGCUGGCGGCGUGCUUAAUACAUGCAAGUCGAACGAGGUCGAUUCGGUGGCAACACUGAUGACUACCGAGUGGCGAACGGGUGCGUAACACGUGAGCAACCUGCCCCGAAGACUGGGAUAGCAGUGGGAAACCGCUGCUAAUACCGGAUGCCCCCACAGACCCGCAUGAGUCUGUGAGGAAAGGUUUUCUGCUUCGGGAGGGGCUCGCGGCCUAUCAGCUUGUUGGUGAGGUAACGGCCCACCAAGGCGACGACGGGUAGCUGGUCUGAGAGGACGAUCAGCCACACUGGGACUGAGACACGGCCCAGACUCCUACGGGAGGCAGCAGUGAGGAAUUUUCCGCAAUGGGCGAAAGCCUGACGGAGCGACGCCGCGUGCACGAGGAAGGUCUUCGGAUCGUAAAGUGCUGUCGAGGGGGACGAUUAUGACGGUACCCCUGGAGGAAGCCCCGGCUAACUACGUGCCAGCAGCCGC